rnacentral:rRNA from 1 species
CCUACGGGUGGCAGCAGUGAGGAAUAUUGGUCAAUGGCCGUAAGGCUGAACCAGCCAAGUCGCGUGAAGGAUGACGGUUCUAUGGUUUGUAAACCUCUUUUGUCGGGGAGUAAAGGUCUCCACGUGUGGCUAUUUGCAUGUACCCUAUGAAUAAGCAUCGGCUAACUCCGUGCCAGCAGCCGCGGUAAUACGGAGGAUGCGAGCGUUAUCCGGAUUUUUUGGGUUUAAAGGGUGCGUAGGGUGUAUUUUAAGUCAGCGGUGAAAGUUUGGGGCUCAACCAUAAAAGUGCCGUUGAAACUGGAGUACUUGAGUGUGUGUGAGGUAUGCGGAAUGCGUGGUGUAGCGGUGAAAUGCAUAGAUAUCACGCAGAACUCCGAUUGCGAAGGCAGCUUACUAGGCCAUAACUGACACUCAAGCACGAAAGCGUGGGUAUCGAACAGGAUUAGAUACCCGAGUAGUC